rnacentral:rRNA from 1 species
AUUGAACGCUGGCGGCAUGCCUUACACAUGCAAGUCGAACGGUAACAGGUCUUCGGAUGCUGACGAGUGGCGAACGGGUGAGUAAUACAUCGGAACGUGCCUAGUAGUGGGGGAUAACUACUCGAAAGAGUGGCUAAUACCGCAUGAGAUCUACGGAUGAAAGCAGGGGAUCGCAAGACCUUGUGCUACUAGAGCGGCCGAUGGCAGAUUAGGUAGUUGGUGGGAUAAAAGCUUACCAAGCCGACGAUCUGUAGCUGGUCUGAGAGGACGAUCAGCCACACUGGGACUGAGACACGGCCCAGACUCCUACGGGAGGCAGCAGUGGGGAAUUCUGGACAAUGGGCGAAAGCCUGAUCCAGCAAUGCCGCGUGCAGGAUGAAGGCCUUCGGGUUGUAAACUGCUUUAGUACGGAACGAAAAGCCCCGGGUUAAUACCCUGGGGUCAUGACGGUACCGUAAGAAUAAGCACCGGCUAACUACGUGCCAGCAGCCGCAGUAA